rnacentral:miRNA from 1 species
AAAGUGACUUAGCCGGGCAGUGGUGGCACACACCUUUAAUCCCAGCACUUGGGAGGCAGAGGCAGGCGGACCUCUG